UACGUAGGGUGCAAGCGUUGUCCGGAAUUAUUGGGCGUAAAGAGCUCGUAGGCGGUUUGUCGCGUCUGCUGUGAAAACUCGGGGCUUAACUCCGGGCCUGCAGUGGGUACGGGCAGACUAGAGUGCGGUAGGGGAGACUGGAAUUCCUGGUGUAGCAGUGAAAUGCGUAGAUAUCAGGAGGAAUACCGAUGGCGAAGGCAGGUCUCUGGGCUGACACUGACGCUCAUGCACGAAAGCGUGGGGAGCAAACAGG
rnacentral:rRNA from 1 species